rnacentral:lncRNA from 1 species
UUUUUUAUGCUACAAGAGAGUUAACACUGUGUCUGAUCUCUCUGGCCACGCCAAGAGUUAAGCAUGCCCUUGUCUUCCGGUCACUGCCAGGCCUCAUGUGAAACUGCUCCCUCAUUUCUGAACAUUGACUUCUCUUGUUAAUUAUUCGACGGCUCUGGGUUUACCUUAGAGAAGAUCAAAAGCUUUUAGAUCCCGGUUACUGUGGGCCGCCUGGGGCUUUCCACAUCCAGCGUUGUGCCGGAUGACUUGUCCGUCCCCGCCCCCCAUCGCCAGCACAAGCACCGACCACGUAGCUGGAAAUAAAUUGACUUCUAAGCUUCAUCCACUUAGUCCUUAUUUACUGCCCAUUAUGUGCAGGACGCUGUGAUAAUAAUGAGACAGUGUCCACAAAACAUGUCUUGCUGAAGAGCCAGGACCGCCUGAGGCCGUGUGGAUUGAGUCUGGAGGAGAGGCCGGGGCUGUCUGUUGCGUACCUGCCUGGAGCCUGGUUGGAGGUCAGCCAAGUGUUCAGAAGAGCCCUAGCACACGCCAGAGUCCAGACUUAGAAACAUGCCGUCCCCUCAGCCCCUUUCACAGUGACUG